GACGAACGCGGCGGCGUGCUUAACACAUGCAAGUCGAACGAAGAGCGAUGGAAGCUUGCUUCUAUCAAUCUUAGUGGCGAACGGGUGAGUAACGCGUAAUCAACCUGCCCUUCAGAGGGGGACAACAGUUGGAAACGACUGCUAAUACCGCAUACGAUCUAACCUCGGCAUCGAGGAUAGAUGAAAGGUGGCCUCUACAUGUAAGCUAUCACUGAAGGAGGGGAUUGCGCCUGAUUAGCUAGUUGGAGGGGUAACGGCCCACCAAGGCGAUGAUCAGUAGCCGGUCUGAGAGGAUGAACGGCCACAUUGGGACUGAGACACGGCCCAGACUCCUACGGGAGGCAGCAGUGGGGAAUCUUCCGCAAUGGACGAAAGUCUGACGGAGCAACGCCGCGUGAGUGGUGACGGCCUUCGGGUUGUAAAGCUCUGUUAAUCGGGACGAAAGGCCUUCUUGCGAAUAGUUAGAAGGAUGACGGACCG
rnacentral:rRNA from 1 species